AGCGAACGCUGGCGGCAGGCCUAACACAUGCAAGACGAGCGCCCCGCAAGGGGAGCGGCAGACGGGAGAGUAACACGUGGGAACGUACCCUUUGGUUCGGAACAACCCAGGGAAACUUGGGCUAAUACCGGAUAAGCCCUUACGGGGAAAGAUUUAUCGCCGAAGGAUCGGCCCGCGUCUGAUUAGCUAGUUGGUGGGGUAACGGCCCACCAAGGCGACGAUCAGUAGCUGGUCUGAGAGGAUGAGCAGCCUCACUGGGACUGAGACACGGCCCAGACUCCUAAGGGGGGCAGCAGUGGUGAAUAUUGGACAAUGGGCGCAAGCCUGAUCCAGCCGGGCCGCGUGGGUGAUGAAGGCCCUAGGGUUGUAAAGCCCUUUCGGCGGGGAAGAUAAUGACGGUACCCGCAGAAGAAGCCCCGGCUAACUUCGUGCCAGCCGCCGCGGUAA
rnacentral:rRNA from 1 species